UAAAAAUAAAAAGCAGAACCACAAGACAGUAUAAAUAGGUUGGUGAACAGAUAGCCAAAAUAGCAGUCAAAAUCCAUCGCACUUUGUCACAAAUAAAUUAAAAAUAUUGUAAUUAAAUAACAAUCCCUAAAAAUGUCAUGUGAUCAAUUGUGGUAAUGAUCACAGUUACUGCUGUGAAAAAUUAUUUGCACUAAGUGUUUCACAACUUGCUGAGAGGGCUUGACCUAGUAAAAAAUCCUCAUAUGUGCACAGCAGUGGCAAAAAACGAGAUGAGCGUCGCAUCUUGGUGACCAUUAUCUCCCUACAUACUACACAAAACUGAAUUUGAAAUUAAAGGAGAAAUAACAAAGCAGUUCGUGUGCCAAUGAUGGUUAAGCGCACUGCAAUGCCUUGCCAUGCGUUGAAAGCUGACCUCCAAGCAACCAAAAUGUAAGUGACCCUACAUUGAAGCAGCGUCUCUAAAUGACGAACGUGUAUCACAUCCUGGCAUUCGCAGACGCAGUCACCAAAUGAAAAACACCUUUGCAAAUCGCAAUAACGACGAAUGUCACACGCGUGCGCACACAGACAGAAUGCGAGCAGUUUCCGAAAGCACUCGCGAAAGACUGUACGGACGUUCCUACGCGUUCCACGCAUAUCAGAAGCGCGCGCGCGCGCGCACACAUACACACAUACACACACACACACACACACACGCACGCACAAAAGGCGAGCAGUUUCCGGAAGCACUCGACAAAGACGGCACGGAUGUUUUUACAAAAAAGCAAAUCCCACCGGCGUGGCACCAUUUCCCGAUGCACAAACAGCACCACUCAUUAACAGUACACAUCCGUAGAACGGCGCACAAGCCGGAACAAAGCGCACACCACUCGACGCCAAAUCCGUCGUCGAUUACGCCGCUGAGAAACGAACACCUUCUAACAUUCACAAACCAAACGACGAUGUGCUGCGAACUUCAAACAGAUUUUACGGCCCUGUCCGGUUGAUAGGGCUGCUCCACAGGCUGUCCUCACUGUUGAAAGCAAUGUCAGCAAAGUUGUUGAAAAAGGCCGCCUAAAACACGCAAAAACAUGGAAAUAAUACGCCUCUACUACCCACGCUACUCAUGCGAUCACAGUUACCGGAACCACAGACGGCGAAGUAAACAAACGACGUCAUUUCCCUUCAUUUCGGACCGAAGUAGUUUCUCAGUUGCGCGAGUCUUCCUUUCGAGCAGGGCGCGACUUGUUCCGGGGACUGUGAGGGCGCUGCGGUCGAGCUCUGCACCAAGUGAGCGGCGCUGCUCUGCUGACAUGUGCACGUUACUUGCGGGUGUUUGCGCUUCUUGUGCUGUAGCCGAUUUUAUUUUCUCAUUGCGUGUGCCUUGUAACUGUCCUCGGGCACGUGGCUGGCGGUCGAGGUCUUUUGCGUCCGGUCCAAGUUUUGCGCUCAUGGAGACGCCAGUACCGGCGACGUGUGGGUCACCAAGCGUUAACAUUGCGUGUGCACUUUGGUUUGUAGGCCCACCUUUUUUUCCAUCUCACUUUCUUCGGACGUGCACUCUCAGGUAUGGUGUCUGUAGAAUAUUAUACUUCAGCUUAAACAACAACAGAAAGAAAUAACGGCUGCUUUAUUCAGCGAGCACCAUGUAAAUGCCGAGUGCCGCGACUAACAACCAUAACUGUGCCAGGCUAUAGCAGACGACGCUCGGAUGCUUGGCGCGGAGGUCGAUGGCAGUGCUGCGGUGGCGGGAACGGCAGCGGGCUGCAUGGUGCGCAUAGCCGAGGAAUUGGGGUACUUAAAGAGGACUAUAGGCCAUCGCUCUAUAGGCGUUGUUGCGGCGGGCGGCCGAUGUGGUGCUGAUCGUUUGAUCAUAUUUACGCGGUGCUUAGAGAACAUGUGCUCCUUUUUUUGUGUGAAUUAACGAUCACUAAGCCCUGGGGCCUGUGCAACGCUAUUAGCUCGCUGUAUGUUUCUUGCGGUGCGCCGUUGUUGAUUAUCGUAGUGCGGUCAAUUCGCGCUUCUUUGUCUCGCCGCUCCCGCAUCGGGUCACAGUGCACGGAAGAAUGUGUUGAUAGUUGUGCUAUCGCGUGCUGUAGUUCACCGCAAUUCAACACUACGCUGGACGGACUGUUGGUGCAGUCGAUGCGGCGUGAACGGACACGAAGGAGCGCUCGCCUCAGACGGGAUGUCACAAUUUCCUGAGACGGAGGCAUCUCUGCACCACAUAGGCUGCGGCACUAUGCAGCUUGAACAGCACGACAAAGCAUCUGAUCUGCCUGCUUUGACAAGUGUGGCUGGGCCUGCAGAAAGAGUAAGCAGACUACUGUGUUGCUGAUCAGUGCUGAUCUCCACGUCCGAGCUGGUCCCACAACAUCCAGGCACCACUGUGCUUUGCUUCAUUGACAAGGUGUGGCUGGGCCUGCAGAAAAGCUGUAAGGAGACUGCAGUGUUGCUGAUCAGUGCUGAUCUCCACGUCCGAGCUGGUCCCACAACAUCCAGGCACCACUGUGCUUUCACAAGAUGCAUACGAGCACUGUUUCAAAAACGCCGAACACUGUGGAUACGGAGGCAAGGAGGCUGAAGGACCUGAACAAGCACCUGGCCACGAUGCUUCGGAAUACAAAAUAAAGAUGGUUUGUGUUAA